GCAUUGGUGCUUCAGUGGUAAAAUUCUCGCCUUCCGUGUGGGAGACCUGGCUUCAUUUCCCAGCCAAUCCA
rnacentral:tRNA from 1 species